rnacentral:tRNA from 1 species
AUUUCUUUAGUAUAAUUAAUAUCAAUGACUUCCAAUCAUUUAAUUCUGGUUAAACCCCAGAAAGAAAUA